rnacentral:rRNA from 1 species
GUGGCGAAGGCGGCCCCCUGGACGAAGACUGACGCUCAGGUGCGAAAGCGUGGGGAGCAAACAGGAUUAGAUACCCUGGUAGUCCACGCCGUAAACGAUGUCGACUUGGAGGUUGUGCCCUUGAGGCGUGGCUUCCGGAGCUAACGCGUUAAGUCGACCGCCUGGGGAGUACGGCCGCAAGGUUAAAACUCAAAUGAAUUGACGGGGGCCCGCACAAGCGGUGGAGCAUGUGGUUUAAUUCGAUGCAACGCGAAGAACCUUACCUGGUCUUGACAUCCACGGAAGUUUUCAGAGAUGAGAAUGUGCCUUCGGGAACCGUGAGACAGGUGCUGCAUGGCUGUCGUCAGCUCGUGUUGUGAAAUGUUGGGUUAAGUCCCGCAACGAGCGCAACCCUUAUCCUUUGUUGCCAGCGGUCCGGCCGGGAACUCAAAGGAGACUGCCAGUGAUAAACUGGAGGAAGGUGGGGAUGACGUCAAGUCAUCAUGGCCCUUACGACCAGGGCUACACACGUGCUACAAUGGCGCAUACAAAGAGAAGCGACCUCGCGAGAGCAAGCGGACCUCAUAAAGUGCGUCGUAGUCCGGAUUGGAGUCUGCAACUCGACUCCAUGAAGUCGGAAUCGCUAGUAAUCGUGGAUCAGAAUGCCACGGUGAAUACGUUCCCGGGCCUUGUACACACCGCCCGUCACACCAUGGGAGUGGGUUGCAAAAGAAGUAGGUAGCUUAACCUUCGGGAGGGCGCUUACCACUUUGUGAUUCAUGACUGGGGUGAAGUCGUAACAAGGUAACCGUAGGGGAACCUGCGGUUGGAUCACCUCCUUACCUUAAAGAAGC